CAACACAACCUGAAAAAGGCCCAGGUGGAGGAGUUACCUCUGCUGAUCGGUAGUCUUUUCCAAAGAAAACAGAAUAUCAUUUAACUUGGAACAAAUACAAAUGAGGCCAACUUCCGUCCAGCGCUUAUCUGUUGCAUAGGAUUUUUGUUUACAAGCUAAGAGGGCCACAAUAAAUGGCUGGGUGCUAUGUCCCCAUCUACACUGCAGGGGCUAUUCUGGUCCACAGUGAAGAGUUUCCAUACAUGGACAGUAUCAACAAAGAUAGGAGUAGCUCUGCUGCAUGAGCUGUCCAGACAAUAAAGAAAGGAUCAUCAGUGAAAUCAUUUCUGAAGAAAAACAGUGACUAACCUACCAGGAGAAAGCUAUUUCACCAUUACAUGCCUAUGGGGCAUUUAUUUUGUGUGCACAUAUAUUGCGUGCAGUGAUGGCAUUUCAGAUGUCUUUAAGGUUUUAAGAUCUUAGUCAUGCUCACUGCCUCCACACCAAUCUAAUCUUCCAUUCCACUGUUCUGUUUCCAGUUUUGAAAUUGUUCAGGUUACGAGGUAGAUCUGGAAAGUAAAAUAGGCUCCCACUGGGCACGUAUUGGUGAAGUGAGGUAGGAGACUCCAGCUAAGUACUUUGAGAUCCUAUCUUGAAGACCAAAGGGCCUGGCCAGAUGAGGCAAAGAAGUGAAAAGGAAAGGGAGAAGGAUGACCACUCACUCUCCUGGAAGGACUCCAGAGUGAUAGAAGCUGAGACAUAUUUAGUUUUAACCCCAAGUAACCUUGCUCUUGAAAUGGCAUCCUGUGUAACUUCAUCUUAACAGCAAUAGUUAGCAUUUAUGUAACUCUAUAAAGUUAAAAGGGCCUAUUUUUUAAUUUUAUAGAAAUGUAUUCAGUCAACUCUAAAAUACAAAAAGGGUAACUUUUAAAUAUAUUUCCCAGAUAGCUAAAAACCCCCCAUGACAUAGGCUUACCCUACACACUCAAAAAUGUUGCCAUCUAAAGAGGAAUUUAUCAGGUGUUAGGCACUGGCUGUACUGGCUAAGCACUCAGCGGGUACAAGGCUAUGCAAAAUAAUCACAGUCCCAGGUGAAAUACAAGCACUACUCUUUACUAUUUUUAGGCAGCUGGAUUGUAUCACUGUGUAACCAUGAUCUUGAAAGUGACCAUAAGGCAACAGUUCAACAAUCAAGGUGUGUUUGAUACAAGAAGAAAACCAGUAAUUUUCUGGAAUGAAUGGAAAUAUUAUUUUCCAUGGAUCAAUAAGGACAUAAGUUACUGUUAUAAGGCUUCCUAUAAUAUGUGCAGAAGAACCACCUCAGUCGCUUAUAAAGAAUUACAGAAAGAAGUGGAUCACAGAAAUAAUCCUAGAAUAAACUGUUUGAAUAAAGCACUUAAAAUUUUCCCUCUCUUGCUAGAAAAUACAAAAUCCAGAAAAAGGUUUUGGUAUGUACAUAAAUGAAUGGUACAUUGCCAUUCGUUUACAUCACUCAACUGUGAUAGAAAGCAACAAUACUUAAUUUGCUAAUAUUUUCCCAUCCUUUAAAUGUAUUAUAUUGGCAAUAAACAAAGCCUACCAAUCUACUAACUCUUCUUUCAAUUAAGAAAUCAAUUUAAAAAUUGCUUUACACAUGGUUUUUGUGUGGCACUGAUGUCCAAGACAUUUUACUUUUAAAAUGUUUUAAUAGCUGUUUUUAGUAAGCAGUUGAAAAGGAAGCAAUUCACUCGUCUAUUCAAUAAUUCUGUGAAUCUGCAUGUAAAAGGUAAUCCAAGUGAAAAUAUAAAAAUCACAACAGUUAAAUAGUUUGAACUUUGGUAAUGUAUCAGCAUUUGUAGCUGGUAAGGUGUCUUUGAACAUAACAUUAAUAAUCUGUCAAUGAAUGAAUGGAAAACAAGGAUGAAUCUUUUUUUGUAGCCUACGUAGACAUAAUACAAAAAAAAACCCUGCUAUAGAUAAGGAGUUAGUCUGCUAUCAUGUUUCAGUGCCCAUCCUUGUGCUAAAUACUCACUGAAUCUUUGUAGUAAUAUACGCUAGUGUAAAAUCCAAUAAACCCUUUGUAUAGCAUUAGUGAAACUGUUGGAAUAUUUUUUUCUUGCACGCACUUAGCCAGGUAAUAAAUACAAAAAUAGAGAC